AUGUUGCAGUCCGCACUGGCUGGUCAGACUGCACUGUUACAAGGCUGUGUGGUGCGGGUUGAGAGCUUUCUGGAGCGAGCGGAGGUUGCUUUGGGUAGACUAUCCCUUGUGUCGGCUCUGUUGCAGACCACUCUAACGACACAUGCUCCUUGUGCGACCGGUGUUUGCUCCGCGGGAGAUAGGGGUGAGGAGUUGUACGGCUUUUUCUCCCCUCGUGUUGGAGUCCGUUCAUCGUCGAUGCCUACCUCCCCUUCUAAGGUGUCUUCCACUGAGGGCGAGUCCAUCGCUGUGCUUGUGGCUCCGGUGCUGCAGAUCAUGCCCGAGCUUAGGGAGUUAUGCCUGAGUUUAUCAGUGGAGCAUACGAAGGUGGACAUGUCGGCGGCCUCGAUUGAAGGACAUGUUCCGCCUCUGUCAAGUGAGCAGUUGGAGGUUCCUUUUGUUGAUGAUGCUAAAGGGAAGACAGCUGCAAUUUCAUGA
rnacentral:rRNA from 1 species